GAUAAAAUCAGAGAAGAAUAUGGUUGAUGAGUGACAGUUUGCAGUGAUGCUUUUGUUCCUGAUGUUAAUUAUUGGGGACUGCAUUUAAUUCAUGGCCCGGUUCUGUGCUGCACAGUAAUUCUGUUAGCAGGAACCUGGUGGUGUGAGCCACCAACAACCUGGGCUGGGUGGAUAAUUAGGAUCCAGCUUCAGGCACCUCCAUCUUCUUCUAACAUCCAACAUGGCAUCUCUCAUGAUUUCUACAACUUUUCUUCUGUGUUUGGGCUUUUAGCUCAAUGUUCUUAUAUGAAUACUAAAUAUGUAAAACAGCAUAAAAAGCAGGAUGGAGCUGAACCUUGCAGAGGAGACAUGAAGUCACAUAUGGAUGUUUAAAGCUGGACAUCAACGUAUUACACAAUGGUCACCAGAGAAGAAGUGAUGCUUCCAGCUGCCCGAGUUCAUCAGAUGUUCUGCAGAUGCCAUGUUCUACUUGUGCUGGUCUGUCACAUAAAAUCCCCUGAAGGUUGCGGAUGGAACGAGAGACAAUGAGGAGAAACAUCAGGGGUGUGAAUACUUAUGAAUGGGGACGAACACUGAAGGAGCAAAAGAUCUACAAACCAGGACCGCAUAAAGCUGCCCAUCCAUAAUUCAUGGUGAUCCAGAACUGUAGGAAGUACUGAAACAUACAGAUACCUCAUCAGUCUGUGGGUUCUGUUACAGCCAGACUAAACUUAUUUAAACCCAC